rnacentral:misc_RNA from 1 species
CGCACCUUGCACCUUCUGGUAUUCCAGAAGGUACAUCUGUUUGAGUGUCCAGGAAGGCAACAACCCCAGACCAUCAAGGUGUUGGUGUGUUGGAUGCUGAGUGUUGCCAUCUCUACAGAUGGCUCGCUUGAAAUGUAUUAGCAAUCUUGCACUUCGGAUUGACUCGACAUGAUAAGAUCUUUGUUGAGCAGCUGGAUUGUCAAGGGUGGCUCCAAACCUGUGCCUAAAUGCGCAACACUGAUGUUUGACCUCAAAUCAGAUGGGACUACCCGCUGAACUUAA